rnacentral:rRNA from 1 species
GUCCACGCUGUAAACGAUGUCUGCUAGCCGUUGGGGUCCUUGAGGCCUCGGUGGCGCAGCUAACGCGAUAAGCAGACCGCCUGGGGAGUACGGCCGCAAGGUUAAAACUCAAAUGAAUUGACGGGGGCCCCGCACAAGCGGUGGAGCAUGUGGUUUAAUUCGAUGCAACGCGAAGAACCUUACCAGGUCUUGACAUCCAGAGAACUGUCCAGAGAUGGACGGGUGCCUUCGGGAACUCUGAGACAGGUGCUGCAUGGCUGUCGU